rnacentral:rRNA from 1 species
UACGAAGGGGGCUAGCGUUGCUCGGAAUCACUGGGCGUAAAGCGCACGUAGGCGGAUUGCUAAGUCAGGGGUGAAAUCCUGGAGCUCAACUCCAGAACUGCCCUUGAUACUGGCGAUCUUGAGUCCGGGAGAGGUGAGUGGAACUGCGAGUGUAGAGGUGAAAUUCGUAGAUAUUCGCAAGAACACCAGUGGCGAAGGCGGCUCACUGGCCCGGUACUGACGCUGAGGUGCGAAAGCGUGGGGAGCAAACAGGAUUAGAAACCCCAGUAGUCC